GUAAAGAAGAGAGAGAAAGAAGAAGAAAGGAAAAGAGGAAGAAGAAGGGUAAAUCAACCGUAGAGCUUCAUUGGAGCUAGGUCUUGGUAUUUUAAGCUUGGAUUAAUGAUCAGCUCAUCGAGGUCUUCGAUUUGAGGUUACACUCAAUAUACGCAUACCUACACAUUGGAUCUUUUUCGUACCGGGUACAAGCACCGUGUACAUAUACAAGUGAUUUUACAGGUUACUCGCCUGGUGAUCAGGAUCCGGGCCACACUAUGGAGUUUCCAUCUGAGGAUUGGUGGGUCCCUAAGGAGUUCAAGCACAGUGUCGAUUACACGUGCGAGGAUUGUGCUACAAGGCAGCUGUGACUCCUGAGUGAUUCUUUUUUAUGUAUUCCCUUUUGUUACUUGAAGCUUAAAUUGUUAUAUUUUUGUAUAUAUAUCAUGCUUUCGGGCCCAAAUGUAUAUAACUUUUAUAACUUAAUUUGGGUAUCAAGUAUUUGAGAAACAAUUACA